AAGGAUUCAGCCCCAUGGAGUUAGUAAGUCUUCCAAACCAUUCGACGUUAUGUAUACAGUCUCAGUAAUGUUCUGUGUUCCUCAGUCAGGACAGCAGGUGGCCCGACUGGGAUUCGAACCUGGCACCUUCUGAGUAUAUAUUUAGAGCGCUACCGCUAGACGAAUCUAGUGGAUGUUGGAGUUGUCGAGAGUUUCGUUAAAUAAGCUGAAAAUAAAUGGAACACACGGCGUCACAUCUCGACAGGUCCUCACAUUAGACUAGGAAUCAGGAUAACGCUACAGUCUCUGGAACUUGUGCUUCUUGACCUAUCUCGCGUUACGGUACUGUGAAUUGUGUGAAGUCUUGUGAUUACUUAUCGAAAUAGACGGGUUCAUGGUUGAGGACAGGGUCUUGAAGAGGUUACGCAUGUUGUGUUAUACAUCAUACGUAAAUAUAAACAUCUCCGCGAACAGAUAUACUCCCCACUUCAACAAAUGCAAUUAGUUCUUAAAAAACAAGUUUCGAUUCCGAAUUUCCCUUCAUACCCGAAACUUCUUAAAAAAACAAGUUUCGAUUUCGAAUUUCCCCUUCAUACCCCAAACGGUCCGUUAAAAAACAGUUUCGAUUCCGAAGCAAAAAAGUGAUAAAGAAAUGUUGGACUUUAUUGUAAUGAGGUAAUUUUAAUAUGGCAUUUUGAGUACUGAAAAUCAGAAAUGACUGAUACUUGUGCAUAAACAGGUAGGGACAAAUUGUUUGAAGGCUGUACUGGAAAUUUAGAAGUUAUAUUAAUGUAAACGAUCAACAGUUCUGCCAGUAGAAACUGUCCAUUCCACCCCUAGAACUUUCAGACGGUUUUGCUUGUUACACCAAGCCAAACAAACGCCCAUUGUCUGUGAAAAAUGACAAAACCUAGACUCCCAAAAACUCAAAAAGAGGGCAGUACGUUACAAACGUUGAGUGACGUCAUGCAGUUACGAAAUCGGGUCUCUUCGGGUUGGUUUGUGUCGUGUCGUGUCGGGACGGGUUCAAUCGGGCGACCGUCACACAGGCAGGCUACAGACCCUCACAGACCAGGUGUUAAUAAUGGAUUGCGAUAAGCUUGUGUACUGUGUUUUCGAACGCAGAUCUUUAUGGGACCAUAGAGACAAAAUGUAUUACAACCGAGAAGCGAAGAGAAGACUGUGGUCCGAAGUUGCCGCCCUUAUGGGCAAGAAUAGCCAUGUUGUGAAGCAGAAAUGGGCCAUAUUGAGGGACGUAUUUAGGAGGGAGCUGAAGAAGCAUCUUUGUGGCAUACCUGGAGGUCCUCAUGGGCAGACCAUCUCCUACAAGUCAAGAUGGAUAUAUUUUCCACACAUGCUGUUCCUGAAGGAUGUUAUGCAG